UGGGGAAUUUUGCACAAUGGGGGAAACCCUGAUGCAGCGACGCCGCGUGAUUUAGAAGGCCUUCGGGUUGUAAAAAUCUUUUCUAUGGGAAGAAAAUGACAGUACCAUAGGAAUAAGGACCGGCUAAUUACGUGCCAGCAGCCGCGGUAAUACGUAAGGUCCGAGCGUUGCCCGGAAUCAUUGGGCGUAAAGGGUACGUAGGCGGGUAAGCAAGUUAGAAGUGAAAUCCUGUAGCUCAACUACAGUAAGCUUUUAAAACUGCUCAUCUUGAGAUAUGGAAGGGAAAGUGGAAUUCCUAGUGUAGCGGUGAAAUGCGCAGUUAUAAGGAGGAAUACCGGUGGCGAAGGCGACUUUCUGGCCAUAAUCUGACGCUGAGGUACGAAAGCGUGGGGAGCGAACAGG
rnacentral:rRNA from 1 species